rnacentral:rRNA from 1 species
UAGAGUUUGAUCAUGGCUCAGAGUUAACGCUGGCAGCGUGCAUAACACAUGCAAGUCGAACGGGAUUUUCUUGAGAUUAUAUCAAGAGGAAGUCUAGUGGCAGACGAGUGAGUAACACGUAAGGAAUCUACCCAUGGGUGGGGGAUAACGCGCCGAAAGGUGCGCUAAUACCCCAUAUCAUCUUCUGAUGGCAUCGUCAGGGGAUAAAAGGCGUAAGCCGCCAAUGGAUGACCUUGCGACCUAUCAGCUUGUUGGCGGGGUAACGGCCCACCAAGGCUACGACGGGUACCCGGCCUGAAAGGGCGACCGGGCACGGAGGCACUGAGACACGGGCCUCACUCCUACGGGAGGCAGCAGUGGGGAAUUUUGGACAAUGGGGGAAACCCUGAUCCAGCAACGCUGCGUGAGGGAUGAAGGUCUUCGGAUCGUAAACCUCUUUUUUGGGGGACGAAUGCCCGCAAGGGUUUGACGGUACUCCAAGAAUAAGCCACGGCUAAAUAUGUGCCAGCCGCCGCGGUAAUACA